rfam:Daucus carota subsp. sativus cultivar DH1 chromosome 7, whole genome shotgun sequence.
UGGGCAUAAUGAUGAUAAAAAAGACAAUGUCUUCUGAUAAAUUUAUGAUUGAAGAUUAACCUCCUACUCAUUCUGA